rnacentral:lncRNA from 1 species
GGCUAACACCAUAACGCUUCCAAUUCUGUCUUCUAGGCAUCACUAAGAAAUCUAUAUAGUCCUACCUCCCAGAAGAUGAGUGAAGGUGUUACAGUUAGGAUGACUGUUGACAUGAGGCUCUCAGAGGUUCACCACAAAUCGGAAGGACAAGAUUGAGAUUGCCAUUCUUACGGUCUUUCCAUAGUCUCCCCUUGCAAUUAGAAUUGACCAUCACUGGGGACCUCAUCUAUUAGAUGAAGCUUUUUGAUACUGAAGAGAUUGUUCUACCUGAUGAGCCCAGGCCUAGAAGAUGGACUACAUCCAAGAAGCCUGGCCCAUCUAAGGCCAAGUCACAUCUUUAAGAAAUAUUUGAAAGCAUUUGUGCACGGGAUAAAGGUGCAAGGACCAAAGUCUCCUUAGACAUUCCAGCCUACAGAGGGUCUGACAGACUCAGGUCAAAGGUUACGUCUGAAGCCUAGAUCAUGAAGAAGGCCCCACUCCACAGGAGAAGUCUGUGGCUGAUGCUGUUGCAACCAGGACUAUGAUUGUGAAACUUGUGUCUGUGGAUAGCAGAUUCACGAAUCUUGUGCCCAGGUAUCCACAGGCCUUUUUUCAUACAUUCCUUGGUAUAACUUUGCAAGUCCUGACUUUGGAAGUGUUGGGUCCUUCUGCUAUCUCACUUGACAUAUAGUCCAAGAAAGAUUUUUACCCCUUUAAGGGGCUGGAAAUAGACUGGACUCACAGUUACCAUUAAAACUGAAGUUCUGUCCUUU